UACAGAGGGUGCGAGCGUUGUUCGGAAUUAUUGGGCGUAAAGGGCGCGUAGGCGGUGCGGUAAGUCACCUGUGAAAUCUCCUGGCUCAACUGGGAGCUUGCAGGCGAAACUGCCGUGCUGGAGUGUGGGAGAGGUGAGUGGAAUUCCCGGUGUAGCGGUGAAAUGCGUAGAUAUCGUCUGGAACGCCGAAGGUGAAAACAGCUCGCUGGGGCUGCGCUGACGCUGAGACACGAAAGCCAGGGGAGCGAACGGG
rnacentral:rRNA from 1 species